GGGGAAUAUUGGACAAUGGGCGGAAGCCUGAUCCAGCCAUGCCGCGUGUGUGAAGAAGGCCUUUUGGUUGUAAAGCACUUUAAGCGAGGAGGAGGCUCCUUUAGUUAAUACCUAAAGUGAGUGGACGUUACUCGCAGAAUAAGCACCGGCUAACUCUGUGCCAGCAGCCGCGGUAAUACAGAGGGUGCGAGCGUUAAUCGGAUUUACUGGGCGUAAAGCGUGCGUAGGCGGCUUUUUAAGUCGGAUGUGAAAUCCCUGAGCUUAACUUAGGAAUUGCAUUCGAUACUGGAAAGCUAGAGUAUGGGAGAGGAUGGUAGAAUUCCAGGUGUAGCGGUGAAAUGCGUAGAGAUCUGGAGGAAUACCGAUGGCGAAGGCAGCCAUCUGGCCUAAUACUGACGCUGAGGUACGAAAGCAUGGGGAGCAAAC
rnacentral:rRNA from 1 species